GUUGAACGCUGGCGGCAUGCCUUACACAUGAAAGUCGAACGGCAGCGGGCCUUCGGGUGCCGGCGAGUGGCGAACGGGUGAGUAAUGCAUCGGAACGUGCCAUUGAGUGGGGGAUAACGUAGCGAAAGUUACGCUAAUACCGCAUAUUCUGUGAGCAGGAAAGCAGGGGACCGCAAGGCCUUGCGCUCUUUGAGCGGCCGAUGUCAGAUUAGCUAGUUGGUGAGGUAAAGGCUUACCAAGGCGACGAUCUGUAGCGGGUCUGAGAGGAUGAUCCGCCACACUGGAACUGAGACACGGUCCAGACUCCUACGGGAGGCAGCAGUGGGGAAUUUUGGACAAUGGGCGCAAGCCUGAUCCAGCCAUGCCGCGUGAGUGAAGAAGGCCUUCGGUGUAAGCUCUUCGUCGGACGAAAUACGCA
rnacentral:rRNA from 1 species